CGGGGGGCAUGCGUCCAUGCAGUCGAGCGGGGGGAGUACUUCGGUACUAACCUUAGCGGCGGACGGGUGAGUAAUACUUAAGAAUCUGCCUAUUAGUGGGGGACAACAUCUCGAAAGGGAUGCUAAUACCGCAUACGUCCUACGGGAGAAAGCAGGGGAUCUUUAUGACCUUGCGCUAAUACAUGAGCCUAAGUCGGAUUAACUAGUUGGUGGGGUAAAGGCCUACCAAGGCGACGAUCUGUAGCGGGUCUGAGAGGAUGAUCCGCCACACUGGGACUGAAACACGGCCCAAACUCCUACGGGAGGCAGCAGUGGGGAAUAUUGGACAAUGGGGGGAACCCUGAUCCAGCCAUGCCGCGUGUGUGAAAAAGGCCUUAUGGUUGUAAAGCACUUUAAGCGAGGAGGAGGCUUACCUGGUUAAUACCCAGGAUAAGUGGACGUUACUCGCAAAAUAAGCACCGGCUAACUCUGUGCCAGCAGCCGCGGUAAUACAGAGGGUGCAAGCGUUAAUCGGAUUUACUGGGCGUAAAGCGCGCGUAGGCGGCCAAUUAAGUCAAAUGUGAAAUCCCCGAGCUUAGCUUGGGAAUUGCAUUCGAUACUGUUUGGCUAGAGUGUGGGAGAGGAUGGUAUAAUUCCAGGUGUAGCGGUGAAAUGCGUAGAGAUCUGGAGGAAUACCGAUGGCGAAGGCAGCCAUCUGGCCUAACACUGACGCUGAGGUGCGAAAGCAUGGGGAGCAAACAGGAUUAGAUACCCUGGUAGUCCAUGCCGUAAACGAUGUCUACUAGCGCGUUGGGGCCUUUGAGGCUUUAGUGCCGCAGCUAACGCGUAUAAGUACACCGCCUGGGGGAGUACGGUCGCAAGACUAAAACUCAUAUGAAUGUGACGGGGGCCCGCACAAGCGGGUGGAGCAUGUGGUUAAUUCGAUGCAACGCGAGACCCUUACCUGCCCUUGACAUAGUAGACACUAUCCAGUGUCUUCGGUAUCUACAUACAGGUGCUGCAUGCUGUCGUCAGCUCGUGUCGUGAUAUGCUGGUUAGUCCGGCACGAACGCACCCGUUCCUUACUGCUACAUUCGAUGACGUAGGCAUCCUGCAGUGACAAGCUGCG
rnacentral:rRNA from 1 species